rnacentral:misc_RNA from 1 species
GGAAUCAUUGCUAUGCUGAAAUUUGCAGGCUUCUAGAGGAAGAGGAGGACGAUAAAAAAUCAGAAAGAAUAAGAAGGAAGGUCAAGUGCCAUUUGAUUAAUUACAUUCUGUUUCAUUGAUUGUUGUUUGUUGUGUAUAUUUUGCAACCAAGGCAUUUAAUUUUGUAAUGUUAUAUACAUUGAUUUAGCUUAGGAAGUGCUGUUUAAUUUUUUUUAAAAUUGUUUUGGGGCCUUUAUCACUUAAUAUUACAAGCCUCGAUUCAAUUUUGUAUCACACAUGUUAUUUGUUAAUUUGUUCAUGGGUUCACAAUCAGAAUUUAUAAUUCAUUUUUAUUGGUAAUAAAAAUGAAUUA